rnacentral:lncRNA from 1 species
CAUCCUCUCUCUUUCUUUCCCCCAAGUCUCUUAUCUCUUUCUUAUUAUUUCUUUCCGGCCUUAAUUCUCCCGUUCACGGCGGAGCUACCGCUUAAACCACCGUCCGUACACCGGCAUCCACCGUCCUUGCCGGAAUCUGUCGAUCUCUUUUUAGAUCUUUAUUUCACUUUCCCUCAAAUUCAUUCCCAUCCCUUCUCUAACACAAACGUUUUCAGUUUUUAAAGUAAUUUCUCUUCAAUUUUAAAAUUGAAAAGAAAAUUAUUUAUUUACUUUUUUAUUUUAUAUUUCUCGUAACUCUCAAAAACUUUUUAUUUGUUCCUCUCUCCAACGAGAAAUGUACCCGUCUGAGUGAAUUUACUUUCGUAGCCUUUCAUUAACUGUACUUUCCAUACCCUACAACUCUAUAACCGUAAAUUCACCUUUUGCCCUUUUUAUCGCUUUUAGCCAUUUUCUUUUUUUGUUUUUAGUAGGGUGACGUGGCAGCAGUAGAUUUGACUACUAAACGGACGGCUAAGAUGAGUUAUCACACACGUCGAAUCUUAACUCUUGAGGAGUCAUCACGCAAGCGAAAAGACCGAGACACGUUUUAUUCUUUUCCCAAACCGUCAAUCCCAUUAACGUCCGUUAAUACUCCUAAUGUUAAUAUGACGACGUCGUUUAACAAAGGAGCAGCCGAG